rnacentral:rRNA from 1 species
GUAACCUGCCCUUAACUCUGGGAUAAGCCUGGGAAACUGGGUCUAAUACCGGAUAUGACUCCUCAUCGCAUGGUGGGGGGUGGAAAGCUUUAUUGUGGUUUUGGAUGGACUCGCGGCCUAUCAGCUUGUUGGUGAGGUAAUGGCUCACCAAGGCGACGACGGGUAGCCGGCCUGAGAGGGUGACCGGCCACACUGGGACUGAGACACGGCCCAGACUCCUACGGGAGGCAGCAGUGGGGAAUAUUGCACAAUGGGCGAAAGCCUGAUGCAGCGACGCCGCGUGAGGGAUGACGGCCUUCGGGUUGUAAACCUCUUUCAGUAGGGAAGAAGCGAAAGUGACGGUACCUGCAGAAGAAGCGCCGGCUAACUACGUGCCAGCAGCCGCGGUAAUACGUAGGGCGCAAGCGUUAUCCGGAAUUAUUGGGCGUAAAGAGCUCGUAGGCGGUUUGUCGCGUCUGCCGUGAAAGUCCGGGGCUCAACUCCGGAUCUGCGGUGGGUACGGGCAGACUAGAGUGAUGUAGGGGAGACUGGAAUUCCUGGUGUAGCGGUGAAAUGCGCAGAUAUCAGGAGGAACACCGAUGGCGAAGGCAGGUCUCUGGGCAUUAACUGACGCUGAGGAGCGAAAGCAU